rnacentral:rRNA from 1 species
GUGCCAGCAGCGGCGGUAAUACGUAGGGGGCAAGCGUUGUCCGGAUUUACUGGGUGUAAAGGGUGCUCAGGUGGAUUUGUUAGUCGGAGGUGAAACUCCGGAGCUUAACUCCGGAACUGCCUCCGAAACAGCAAGUCUUGAGUUUGGUAGAGGAUGAUGGAAUAUCUGGUGUAGCAGUGAAAUGCGUAGAUAUCAGAUAGAACACCAAUGGCGAAGGCAGUCAUCUGGGCCAUAACUGACACUAAAGCACGAAAGCGUGGGGAUCAAACAGGAUUAGAUACCCUGGUAGUCCACGCCCUAAACGAUGAGUACUAGAUGUUGGUCCCAUAGGGGUCAGUAUCCAAGCUAACGCAUUAAGUACUCCACCUGGGAAGUACGAUCGCAAGGUUGAAACUUAAAGGAAUUGACGGGG